GCUGGCGCACUUAGAGCCACAUGGGCAUUCAAGCUGAAGAAGCGGUAAGAAAUUAAGAUUUAUUCCUCUGGAGUCAAUGCGGCUAAUGAGUUCUGACGGCAUUUUUGGGGGACUUAGAAAGACGUGUCCACAAUAAAUGGCUGUUGAAAACCAA